rnacentral:rRNA from 1 species
GGCCAGCCAAGUUCGUCGGGAAAUCCACCUGCCCAACAGGUGGGCGUCCGGCGAAAACUGUCUGGCUUGGAACCGGAAGGCUCAGAGGGUACGUCGAGGGUAGGAGUGAAAUCCUGUAAUCCUCGACGGACCACCGAUGGCGAAAGCACUCUGAGAAGACGGAUUCGACAGUGAGGGACGAAAGCUAGGGUCUCGAACCGGAUUAGAUACCCGGGUAGUCCUAGCUGUAAACGAUGCUCGUUAGAUGUGGCACCCACUACGAGUGGGUGCUGUGUCGUAGGGAAGCCGCUAAACGAGCCGCCUGGGAAGUACGUCCGCAAGGAUGAAACUUAAAGGAAUUGGCGGGGGAGCACUACAACCGGAGGAGCCUGCGGUUUAAUUGGACUCAACGCCGGACAUCUCACCAGCAUCGACAACAGUAAUGACGGUCAGGUUGAUGACCUUUCCAGAGUUGUUGAGAGGAGGUGCAUGGCCGCCGUCAGCUCGUACCGUGAGGCGUCCUGUUAAGUCAGGCAACGAGCGAGACCCGCACUCCUAAUUGCCAGCACCGGCUUCGGCCGGGUGGGUACAUUAGGAGGACUGCCGUGGCUAACACGGAGGAAGGAACGGGCAACGGUAGGUCAGUAUGCCCCGAAUGUGCUGGGCUACACGCGGGCUACAAUGGCCAAGACAAUGGGUUCCCACCUCGAAAGAGGGCGGUAAUCUCCUAAACUUGGUCGUAGUUCGGAUUGAGGGCUGAAAC